rnacentral:rRNA from 1 species
UACGUAGGGCGCAAGCGUUGUCCGGAAUCAUUGGGCGUAAAGCGUGCGUAGGUGGUUGGUUAAGUCUGCUGUGAAAGCCCUGGGCUCAACCUGGGAAUUGCAGUGGAUACUGGGCGACUAGAGUGUGGUAGAGGAUAGUGGAAUUUCCGGUGUAGCAGUGAAAUGCGUAGAGAUCGGAAGGAACAUCUGUGGCGAAGGCGACUAUCUGGGCCGACACUGACGCUGAGGCACGAAAGCGUGGGGAGCAAACAGG